CGCUCAUUGCAAACUUUUUCUGUAAUAUGGAAAAUUGCAUAAGAAAAUAUUCUAGAGAGCAUUUUUGUCGAAUCACUGCUGUAAUUUUACAAGUAAAGAACUGAGAAUUUUAUAACAAGGAACGAACCUGAUUAUCAUGUUCAACACGAUUUUUAUCGUUGAAAAUACACGAAAUAAAUAUUUCUCGUGACCGUAAUAAUUACGAUCUUUCCAGUGAUACGUGAUUUCACGUGCACCGUUUAUAUCAUCUCAAAUGACAUGCCAGAUGAAAUUCCUCAUGACUGUAACGUUUCUGGUUUAUAUAUACUAUUAUUUUAACAUUUUUUUUUAUCGCAUUUUAAAUCUCUGCACGAUGGAAAUAACUCCAAAGAUAAACUGCACAAGAAAAUGAGCAAUAUUACGAUGAUAUAUAAAUCAGUUUUCAUCAUUUUAAGUUUUUAUAGUUGGCAAUGCAAAACAUGAGCCAUUUUAUGGUUUACAUAACAUCAGUUUUUAGAAGAAUAAAGCUGUUAAUAGCCAAUACCGCACAGUAUACAGAAAAUAAAUGGGUAAAGAUGUAAAGGUAUACAACGGUAUUUUAAAUAUCAUCAUCUAUCUGUGAUGUAAGCAGUUCAGGAUUAAUUUUCCGGAUCUAACAACUUUUAUGGAGAAAUAGGAAAAAAUCGUAACCUUUUUUUUAAAGAAGAAGUAGCUACAGUUAAAGUUUUGCUUAGCUGUGAGCAAAGUUAGCUUAAGAGAAUUUUUUGAAAAUGUAGCUGGGGAGGGGAAAAAACUCCUUAAAAUCCUAAUAAAAAAUUGUAAAGUUUCGGUUCCGCCAUAUUUUGUUGUACUUCCGUAAACUUAACCCUGUCAUUAUAUAGUGGUCCAAUGCCCCGAAGCAUCUCAACAGCGGGCUACUGCCGGAUUUCUGAAUCAGGUUACAACACAAAAUACCGUUUCUUACCAUGCGUGAGGUGCUAAGAGGGGGGAUAAAAGUCAGAGAACGGCGCCGCUAUGUCCAUCCACAUCUUUUUUUUUCCCUGUUUGUCGAGUGUUUUUCCCCUUCUUCCUUCUCCUACCCUAGCUUCUCCCUCCAUGUCGUUCAUUUUGGUAGCAUUGACAUAAGUAAUGCCAGUGCUUCCAUACAUAUAUUUACAUUUUUUCAUCGCUUUAAUGACAUUUCUCUUACACGUUUCUUUACUUAAAGGGAAUUUCAAGAAGAAAAUAAAAAUUUUUUAACCUAACAUUAAACCGUAAUUUUGGAAAAAUUUUCUAUACACUUUAUCCUUCCUGUACGCGUGCCAAACGGUCUUUCUAAACAAAUUUUCCAUCCAUUACGCCAUCGUUGCCAUUCACCUGGGAUGAACGAAAGAUUAACAUUCCGUUUUCUGUCGUUUAUGUAAGAAUGUCACGAAAAUUUUUAUGUGUGUAUUUUUUUCCUCCCCAUCGAGAACGACUUGGUAAAUUUAUAUUAACCGUAUUAAUUAACCAGUAUUUAGGUAAGAGAUAAUUAGUACCAGCUGGCACGCGGCGAAACUAGAUACUCUGACCGAAAGAAACUGGAGCUUUUUGAGGACAAAUUUUAUAAACUUUUAAUUUUACCACGCGAUCACCUAUUUUAAUUUUGAAUCGUUAUUAAACGCCGCAUAACUAUAUCAUCUGCAUGCAUAUAUAUAUAUAUAUAUAUAUAGGCUAUAUAUUGAUAUCAGUCUUUCGGAGAGAUUAAUGCAAAAAUCUGAUCAUCCUGCCUUUUGCAGAAAAACUAG
rnacentral:lncRNA from 1 species